AAUCAACGCUGGCGGCGUGCCUCAGACAUGCAAGUCGAACGCGAAAGUCCCCUUCGGGGGGCGAGUAGAGUGGCGCACGGGUGAGUAACACGUAGGUAAUCUACCCCCGAGUGGGGAAUAACUCAGGGAAGCUUGAGCUAAUACCGCAUAAUGCAGCGGCACCACAUGGUGACAGUUGUUAAAGCAUUUAUGCGCUUGGGGAGGAGCCUGCGGCAGAUAGCUAGUUGGUAAGGUAAUGGCUUACCAAGGCUACGAUCUGUAACCGGCCUGAGAGGGCGGACGGUCACACUGACACUGAAUAACGGGUCAGACUCCUACGGGAGGCAGCAGUCGGGAAUUUUGGGCAAUGGGUGAAGGCCUGACCCAGCAACGCCGCGUGAAGGAUGAAAUCUUU
rnacentral:rRNA from 1 species